GUGACUCGUCACACUAUCAUUAACUGAAUCCAUAGGUUAAUGAGGCGAACCGGGGGAACUGAAACAUCUAAGUACCCCGAGGAAAAGAAAUCAACCGAGAUUCCCCCAGUAGCGGCGAGCGAACGGGGAGGAGCCCAGAGCCUGAAUCAGCAUGUGUGUUAGUGGAAGCGUCUGGAAAGGCGCGCGAUACAGGGUGACAGCCCCGUACACAAAAGCGCAUGUGCUGUGAGCUCGAUGAGUAGGGCGGGACACGUGGUAUCCUGUCUGAAUAUGGGGGGACCAUCCUCCAAGGCUAAAUACUCCUGACUGACCGAUAGUGAACCAGUACCGUGAGGGAAAGGCGAAAAGAACCCCGGCGAGGGGAGUGAAAAAGAACCUGAAACCGUGUACGUACAAGCAGUGGGAGCACAGGUUUACCUGUGUGACUGCGUACCUUUUGUAUAAUGGGUCAGCGACUUAUAUUCUGUAGCAAGGUUAACCGAAUAGGGGAGCCGGAGGGAAACCGAGUCUUAAUUGGGCGUUAAGUUGCAGGGUAUAGACCCGAAACCCGGUGAUCUAGCCAUGGGCAGGUUGAAGGUUGGGUAACACUAACUGGAGGACCGAACCGACUAAUGUUGAAAAAUUAGCGGAUGACCUGUGGCUGGGGGUGAAAGGCCAAUCAAACCGGGAGAUAGCUGGUUCUCCCCGAAAGCUAUUUAGGUAGCGCCUCGUGAAUUCAUCUCCGGGGGUAGAGCACUGUUUCGGCUAGGGGGCCAUCCCGGCUUACCAACCCGAUGCAAACUGCGAAUACCGGAGAAUGUUAUCACGGGAGACACACGGCGGGUGCUAACGUCCGUCGUGAAGAGGGAAACAACCCAGACCGCCAGCUAAGGUCCCAAAGUCAUGGUUAAGUGGGAAACGAUGUGGGAAGGCCCAGACAGCCAGGAUGUUGGCUUAGAAGCAGCCAUCAUUUAAAGAAAGCGUAAUAGCUCACUGGUCGAGUCGGCCUGCGCGGAAGAUGUAACGGGGCUAAACCAUGCACCGA
rnacentral:rRNA from 1 species